UAAGGAACUUGCCUCUUGGACUGGGACAACUGUUGGAAACGACAGCUAAUACCGGAUAUUAUGAGAUUCUCGCAUGAGAAACUUAUGAAAGCUAUAUGCGCCAAGAGAGAGCCUUGCGUUCCAUUAGCUAGUUGGUGGGGUAACGGCCCACCAAGGCGACGAUGGAUAGCCGGCCUGAGAGGGUGAACGGCCACAAGGGGACUGAGACACGGCCCUUACUCCUACGGGAGGCAGCAGUGGGGAAUAUUGGACAAUGGGCCACAAGCCUGAUCCAGCAAUUCUGUGUGCACGAUGAAGGUCUUCGGAUUGUAAAGUGCUUUCAGUUGGGAAGAAGAAAGUGACGGUACCAACAGAAGAAGCGACGGCUAAAUACGUGCCAGCAGCCGCGGUAAUACGUAUGUCGCAAGCGUUAUCCGGAUUUAUUGGGCGUAAAGCGCGUCUAGGCGGAAAAAUAAGUCUGAUGUUAAAAUGCGGGGCUCAACUCCGUAUUGCGUUGGAAACUGUUUUUCUAGAGUACUGGAGAGGUGGGCGGAACUACAAGUGUAGAGGUGAAAUUCGUAGAUAUUUGUAGGAAUGCCGAUGGAGAAGUCAGCUCACUGGACAGAUACUGACGCUGAAGCGCGAAAGCGUGGGGAGCAAAC
rnacentral:rRNA from 1 species